rnacentral:rRNA from 1 species
CUACGGGUUGCAGCAGUGGGGAAUAUUGGACAAUGGGGGAAACCCUGAUCCAGCAAUGCCGCGUGUGUGAAGAAGGCCUGCGGGUUGUAAAGCACUUUCGGUUGGGAGGACUGCUUCUAGCACUAAUAUUGUUGGAAGUUGACGUUACCUUCAGAAGAAGCACCGGCUAACUCCGUGCCAGCAGCCGCGGUAAUACGGAGGGUGCAAGCGUUAAUCGGAAUUACUGGGCGUAAAGCGCGCGUAGGCGGCUAGAUCAGUCGGGUGUGAAAGCCCCGGGCUUAACCUGGGAACUGCAUCCGAUACUGUCUAGCUUGAGUACAGGAGAGGAGAGUGGAAUUCCACAUGUAGCGGUGAAAUGCGUAGAGAUUGGAAGGAACAUCAGUGGCGAAGGCGGCCACCUGGACAAAGACUGACGCUGAGGCACGAAAGCGUGGGUAGCAAACAGGAUUAGAUACCCGUGUAGUC